AUUGAACGCUGGCGGCAUGCCUUACACAUGCAAGUCGAACGGCAGCGCGGGCAACCGUGGCGGCGAGUGGCGAACGGGUGAGUAACAUAUCGGAACAUACCCUAGAGUGGGGAUAACGUAGCGAAAGUUACGCUAAUACCGCAUACGCACUAAGGUGGAAAGUGGGGGAUCUUCGGACCUCAUGCUCAUGGAGUGGCCGAUAUCUGAUUAGCUAGUUGGUGAGGUAAAGGCUCACCAAGGCGACGAUCAGUAGCUGGUUUGAGAGAACGACCAGCCACACUGGAACUGAGACACGGUCCAGACUCCUACGGGAGGCAGCAGUGGGGAAUUUUGGACAAUGGGGGCAACCCUGAUCCAGCAAUGCCGCGUGAGUGAAGAAGGCCU
rnacentral:rRNA from 1 species